rnacentral:lncRNA from 1 species
GGGUGGUAAGUUUCCAUGUCUAUGAUUUUUUCUACCUGCUGAAAAUUGUAGAAUGCAGCAAAGAUUAUACUGGAAGUACAUGUAUUUCACUGUGAAAGCAGAGAACUUAAGGAAAAUAGUUUAAAGCCUGAAAUACGGCAUUCUGUACCGACAGUAUUUGGACAGCCAGCAGUUCAGAUUAGGUCUCUGAGUGUAAUGAGGGAAGAAGAAAAUCAGGUUAAAACGUCCUCAGGGAAAGGGCUUGCACUUCACUUUCAUUUCAUGUGACAGUAGGGCGAGUUCCUUCGUAGUUGUGGAAAGAAUGCCAUCACUCUUCCAGAAAAAUAGAUUUCAUUUUCCAAAUCAUUGCCUGUUAGAAGAGAGUGAGGGUUAAAUUGUAUUAUCUGUCAUUUUGACCCUUUAUUAGUAGAGAUAUGUCAGUAGUUUUUAAUAAGCUAUUUGAUAUAACACUUUAAAGCUU